AAAGGGCGCGUAGGCGGCCAUUCAAGUCGGGGGUGAAAGCCUGUGGCUCAACCACAGAAUUGCCUUCGAUACUGUUUGGCUUGAGUUUGGUAGAGGUUGGUGGAACUGCGAGUGUAGAGGUGAAAUUCGUAGAUAUUCGCAAGAACACCAGUGGCGAAGGCGGCCAACUGGACCAAUACUGACGCUGAGGCGCGAAAGCGUGGGGAGCAAACAGGAUUAGAUACCCCAGU
rnacentral:rRNA from 1 species